rnacentral:rRNA from 1 species
UACGGAGGGUGCAAGCGUUAUCCGGAUUCACUGGGUUUAAAGGGUGCGUAGGUGGGCAAGUAAGUCAGUGGUGAAAUCUCCGGGCUUAACCCGGAAACUGCCAUUGAUACUAUUUGUCUUGAAUACUGUGGAGGUCAGCGGAAUAUGUCAUGUAGCGGUGAAAUGCUUAGAUAUGACAUAGAACACCAAUUGCGAAGGCAGCUGGCUACACAAAUAUUGACACUGAGGCACGAAAGCGUGGGGAGUCAAA